UGGGGAAUAUUGGACAAUGGGCGCAAGCCUGAUCCAGCAAUGCCGCGUGUGUGAAGAAGGCCUUCGGGUUGUAAAGCACUUUUAUCAGGAGCGAAACGCUGUCGGCUAAUACCCGGCGGAACCUGACGGUACCUGAGGAAUAAGCACCGGCUAACUUCGUGCCAGCAGCCGCGGUAAUACGAAGGGUGCAAGCGUUAAUCGGAAUUACUGGGCGUAAAGCGUGCGUAGGCGGUUUCUUAAGUCUGCUGUGAAAUCCCCGGGCUCAACCUGGGAAUGGCAGUGGAUACUGGGAGGCUAGAGUGUGUCAGAGGGUGGUGGAAAUUCCCGGUGUAGCGGUGAAAUGCGUAGAGAUCGGGAGGAACAUCAGUGGCGAAGGCGGCCACCUGGGACAACACUGACGCUGAGGCACGAAAGCGUGGGGAGCAAACAGGAUUAGAUACCCUGGUAGUCCACGCCCUAAAACGAUGCGAACUGGAUGUUGGUCU
rnacentral:rRNA from 1 species